CGGAGGGAGCUAGCGUUGUUCGGAAUUACUGGGCGUAAAGCGCGCGUAGGCGGCUUUGUAAGUUUGAGGUGAAAGCCCGGAGCUCAACUCCGGAACUGCCUUUAAAACUGCAUCGCUUGAAUCCGGGAGAGGUGAGUGGAAUUCCGAGUGUAGAGGUGAAAUUCGUAGAUAUUCGGAAGAACACCAGUGGCGAAGGCGGCUCACUGGACCGGUAUUGACGCUGAUGUGCGAAAGCGUGGGGAGCAAACAGGAUUAGAUACCCUGGUAGUCCACGCCGUAAACGAUGAUAACUAGCUGUCAGGGGCCAUGGGCUUUUGGUGGCGCAGCUAACGCAUUAAGUUAUCCGCCUGGGGAGUACGGCCGCAAGGUUA
rnacentral:rRNA from 1 species